GGUGCGGAGGGAUCAUUACACAAUAUGAAAGCGGGUUGGGACCUCACCUCGGUGAGGGCUCCAGCUUGUCUGAAUUAUUCACCCAUGUCUUUUGCGCACUUCUUGUUUCCUGGGCGGGUUCGCCCGCCACCAGGACCAAACCAUAAACCUUUUUGUAAUUGCAAUCAGCGUCAGUAAACAAUGUAAUUAUUACAACUUUCAACAACGGAUCUCUUGGUUCUGGCAUCGAUGAAGAACGCAGCGAAAUGCGAUACGUAGUGUGAAUUGCAGAAUUCAGUGAAUCAUCGAAUCUUUGAACGCACAUUGCGCCCUUUGGUAUUCCAAAGGGCAUGCCUGUUCGAGCGUCAUUUGUACCCUCAAGCUUUGCUUGGUGUUGGGCGUCUUUGUCUCUCACGAGACUCGCCUUAAAAUGAUUGGCAGCCGACCUACUGGUUUCGGAGCGCAGCACAAUUCUUGCACUUUGAAUCAGCCUUGGUUGAGCAUCCAUCAAGACCACAUUUUCUUAACUUUUGACCUCGGAUCAGGUAGGGAUACCCGCUGAACUUAAGCAUAUCAAUAA
rnacentral:rRNA from 1 species